UACGUAGGCAGCAAGCGUUGUUCGGAAUUACUGGGCGUAAAGAGUGUGUAGGCGGUGUCGUAAGUUUGGCGUGAAAUCUCCCGGCUUAACUGGGAGGGUGCGCCGAAGACUGCGAUGCUUGAGGAUCGGAGAGGAAAGUGGAAUUUCUGGUGUAGCGGUGAAAUGCGUAGAUAUCAGAAGGAACACCUGUGGUGUAGACGGCUUUCUGGACGAUUCCUGACGCUGAGACACGAAAGCGUGGGUAGCAAACAGGAUUAGAUACCCUGGUAGUCCACGCCCUAAACGAUGCAUACUUGGUGUGAGCCAUUCACUUGGUUCGUGCCGGAGCUAACGCGUUAAGUAUGCCGCCUGGGGAGUACGGUCGCAAGGCUGAA
rnacentral:rRNA from 1 species